rnacentral:rRNA from 1 species
GCCCUUAGAGUUUGAUCCUGGCUCAGGACGAACGCUGGCGGCGUGCCUAACACAUGCGAGUCGAGGGGACCCCCGGUACUAUCCUUCGGGGUAGUACCGGACCAGGUUUACCGGCGGACGGGUGGGUAACACGUGGAUAACCUACCUGGGAGUUCGGGAUAACAGCUCGAAAGGGCUGCUAAUACCGGAUAGCCCCAUGGUGUUGCAUAGCACUAUGGGUAAAGAAUAACCGUAAGGUUGUUCGCUCCUGGAUGGGUCCGCGUCCCAUUAGCUAGUCGGUAGGGUAAGGGCCUACCGAGGCGACGAUGGGUAGCCGGCCUUAGCGGGUGGUCGGCCACACUGGGACUGAGACACGGCCCA